rnacentral:rRNA from 1 species
AUUGAACGCUGGCGGCAUGCCUUACACAUGCAAGUCGAACGGCAGCACGGGGGCAACCCUGGUGGCGAGUGGCGAACGGGUGAGUAAUGCAUCGGAACGUGCCCAGUAGUGGGGGAUAACCAGUCGAAAGACUGGCUAAUACCGCAUACGACCCAAGGGUGAAAGCGGGGGACCGUAAGGCCUCGCGCUAUUGGAGCGGCCGAUGUCUGAUUAGCUAGUUGGCGGGGUAAGAGCCCACCAAGGCGACGAUCAGUAGCUGGUCAGAGAGGACGACCAGCCACACUGGGACUGAGACACGGCCCAGACUCCUACGGGAGGCAGCAGUGGGGAAUUUUGGACAAUGGGCGCAAGCCUGAUCCAGCCAUGCCGCGUGCGGGAAGAAGGCCUUCGGGUUGUAAACCGCUUUUGGCAGGAACGAAACGGCGCAGGCCAAUACCUUGCGCUAAUGACGGUACCUGCAGAAUAAGCACCGGCUAACUACGUGCCAGCAGCCGCCGUAAAAC